UCCUCUUCCCUCUCUCUCCCCAUCCUCCACCUCCUUCUCCUCCUCCUAAAUGCAGCUACAUUUGGACCCCUGCAACCCAGCAGGCUAAGAAGCUGGCAGCACAUCUGUCCUCUCUGGUCACAGGGGCUGGAUGUUACGCACCUUCCCAAUCUAUUGCCUUCCAAUACCAUGUCCUUCUGAUGUCACAGUAGCAGAGAUUCUCCACAGGAGAGAACCAUGGAAAAGCAACACUCCUGAGUCCUUUUGAAAAAAUCACCCAACAACAAAAUUCAGCCACUUAAAAGAGGAGUCCAGAUAAAGAACUAAUGGUGGAGAAACCACAGGAAAGGGGCAGGUUCUGAGCAUUGGAGCCACACAAAUAUCAACCAGGACUAAGUUGGCCUAUGUGAAGUGCACAUUAGAGAUUAAGGAGCCACAAGGACUGCGUGCCACAUGGUAUCCUACACUGGAUCCUGGAAGAGGAAAAGAAAAUCCAAAAAAAAGUCCGUAAUUUAGUUACCAAUAUUGCAUCAAUGUUGAUUUCUUAGUUUUGAUCUUUGUACUGUGGUUACGCAAGACGUUAAUGUUAGGGGAGGUUGGAUGAAGGGUAGGUAGAAACUCUGCUAUCUUUGUAACUCAUUAAGUCUGAAAUUAUUUCAAAAUAAAAAGUUUUUAAAAGUGCAUAAAA